UGACCUUGGAAAUCAAGAAUGGGUGGAGCCUGUUGAAUUAAUUCUAGGCGACCCAUACUUGGUUUCAAGGGUCA
rnacentral:pre_miRNA from 1 species